AUUGAACGCUGGCGGCAUGCCUUACACAUGCAAGUCGAACGGUAACAGGUCUUCGGAUGCUGACGAGUGGCGAACGGGUGAGUAAUACAUCGGAACGUGCCUAGUAGUGGGGGAUAACUACUCGAAAGAGUGGCUAAUACCGCAUGAGAUCUACGGAUGAAAGCAGGGGAUCGCAAGACCUUGUGCUACUAGAGCGGCCGAUGGCAGAUUAGGUAGUUGGUGGGAUAAAAGCUUACCAAGCCGACGGUCUGUAGCUGGUCUGAGAGGACGAUCCGCCAGACGGGGACUGAGACACGGCCCAGAGUCCUACGGGGGGCAGCAGUGGGGAAUUUUGGACAAUGGGCGCAGGCAUGAUGCAGCAAUGCCGCGUGCAGGAUGAAGGCCUUCGGGUUGUAGACUGCUUUUGUACGGAGCGAAAAGCCCUGGGUGAAUACCCUGGGGUCAUGACGGUACCGUAAGAAUAAGCACCGGCUAACUACGUGCCAGCAGCCGCGGUAACAC
rnacentral:rRNA from 1 species